AUGGGUGGAUCACUUGAGGUCAGGAGUUCGAGACCAGCCUGGCCAACAUGGUGAAAUCCCAUCUCUACUAAAAAUCCCAGCCUUCUGAGUAGCUGGGAUUACAGGCACAUGCCACCAUGCCUGGGUAAUUUUUGUAGUGGAGACAGGGUUUCACCAUGUUGACCAGGCUGGUCUCAAACUCUUGACCUCAAGUGAUCCACCCACGUCAGCCUCUCAAAAUGCUGGGAUUACAGGUAUGAGCCACUGCACCUGGC
rnacentral:lncRNA from 10 species